GCUCUACAUGACAUUCGUCCUCACUUCGCAUACCCUGUAGAUCCGAAUUUGUGUUGACACUACGUACAAAUUCGUUUCUCGGGCGUAUAACGUUGUGUGAGGACCCGCCGUCAGUCAC
rnacentral:precursor_RNA from 10 species